GGUAGUUCUUAUUAAUUAUAUUAAAGUACUUAGUGUAGUUCUCGUCAAACAAUAGCAGUCUCUGAACAGGACAAGUAUGGCUGUGCAAUGUGUUAGACAUCUCAGCGGGGCCAUAACAUCUACACAGUUACAUAUAACAUAUAAUAGAAUAUAAUAAAUAAAGAUUAAAGGUCAAAUGAAGAAGGAUCCGAAACAUGUUACUCUUAAAUGCAGAGGUACAUCUGUACAACGCGCAUUGGCGCCCCAGCAACACUCCAUGAGAACAUUCGACGUCCUGGGAGGUCUGCUAAGUUUCUAGAGCGAUCACGGUCGGCUGGAAUGACUCUAGCGAAGACCAGGACCUACCACCUAUCAGACCUACGCACACCGGCCUGCUGCAACGUCGAAGACAUUGUUUGGCGAGAACUAUAGCUCCCAUUGACACAAACAUCAUAUUCUGAAGGUGAUCUAUUAUCGCCGCCGAGACUUCGCCGACUGCAGUCGUCGGUUGCAGCUGCCGCUCGUGUAAAUGAAAACUAAGGCUCCAACUUUACAGCUAUAUGCAUUUUAAGUCAAGUUGUGUCUCAAACAGGGAAGUGGAAAACAUCGUGAGGAAACCUGCAUUCAAAAAUAAAAACAAAGUCUUGUAAAAGAUUUUAUUAAUAUUUCAAACACAAUUCACUAUGUACAAAUUACUUUGUAAAAAUAUUCAUUCUCGUCUUAAUAAUUAU
rnacentral:lncRNA from 1 species